rnacentral:rRNA from 1 species
GAUGAACGCUAGCUACAGGCUUAACACAUGCAGGUCGAGGGGCAGCACAAGGCAGCAAUGCUGAGGUGGCGACCGGCGCACGGGUGCGUAACGCGUAUCCAACCUUCCCGUUACUCUUGGAUAGCCUUCCGAAAGGGAGAUUAAUACAUGAUGGUGUUGAAAUUCCGCAUGUUAUUUCAACUAAAGAUUUAUCGGUAACGGAUGGGGAUGCGUGACAUCAGAUAGAUGGCGGGGUAACGGCCCACCAUGUCCACGAUGUCUAGGGGUUCUGAGAGGAAGGUCCCCCACAUAGGAACUGAGACACGGUCCUA